UACGUAGGGUGCGAGCGUUGUCCGGAAUUAUUGGGCGUAAAGGGCUCGUAGGCGGUUUGUUGCGUCGGGAGUGAAAACACUGGGCUUAACCGAGUGCUUGCUUUCGAUACGGGCAGACUUGAGGCAUUGAGGGGAGAACGGAAUUCCUGGUGUAGCGGUGAAAUGCGCAGAUAUCAGGAGGAACACCGGUGGCGAAGGCGGUUCUCUGGCAAUGUUCUGACGCUGAGGAGCGAAAGCGUGGGGAGCGAACAGG
rnacentral:rRNA from 1 species